rnacentral:rRNA from 1 species
GAUGAACGCUGGCGGCGUGCCUAAUACAUGCAAGUCGAGCGAACGGACGAGAAGCUUGCUUCUCUGAUGUUAGCGGCGGACGGGUGAGUAACACGUGGAUAACCUACCUAUAAGACUGGGAACACUUCGGGACACCGGAGCUAAUACCGGAUGAUAUUUUGAACCGCAUGGUUCAAAAGUGAAAGUCGGUCUUGCUGUCACUUCUAGAUGGAUCCGCGCUGCAUUAGCUAGUUGGUAAGGUAACGGGUUACCAAGGGAACGAGGCAUAGCCGAGCUGAGAGGGUGAUCGGCCGCACUGGAACUGAGACGGGGUCCAGACUCCUACGGGAGGCAGCAGUAGGGAAUCUUCCGCAAUGGGCGAAAGCCUGACGGAGCAACGCCGCGUGAGUGAUGAAGGUCUUCGGAUCGUAAAACUCUGUUAUUAGUGAAGAACAUAUGUGUAAGUAACUGUGCACAUCUUGACGGUAACUGAUCAGAAAGCCACGGCUAACUACGUG